ACGGCCAUUGGCGAAUGCCUUGGCGUCAUCAGGCGAUGAAGGACGCAGCAAGCUGCGAUAAGCUUCGGGGAGCGGCACACACGCUUUGAUCCGGAGAUUUCCGAAUGGGGCAACCCGGCGUAAUGAGAAUUACGUCAUUCCGAUCUGAAUCUAUAGGAUCGGUAAAGCAAUACGCGGUGAAGUGAAACAUCUCAGUAACCGCAGGAAAAUAACGAGAAUCGAUUCCGUCAGUAGUGGCGAGCGAAAGCGGAACAGCCCAAACCGUGGGGAUUUAUCCCCGCGGGGUUGUAGGACUGCAAUGUGGACUGAAAGAAGAUAGAUUAACGCCUUGGAACAGGCGACCAAAGAGGGUGAGAGUCCCGUGAUUGAAAUUUUCUUUCUACCUAGCAGUAUCCUGAGUAGCACCGUACACGUGAAAUCCGGUGUGAAUCCAUGCCGACCAUGGCAUAAGGCUAAAUACUCGAUGACGACCGAUAGUGAACUAGUACCGCGAGGGAAAGGUGAAAAGCACCCCUGUUAGGGGAGUGAAACAGUAACUGAAACCAAUGGCCAACAAGUCAGUCGGAGCCACCUUGUGUGGUGACGGCCUGCCUUUUGUAUAAUGAGUCUGCGAGUUAUUGCCCGUAGCAAGCAUAAGCCGCUCAGCGGCCCAUGCGCAGCGAAAGCGAGUCUGAACAGGGCGCUUAGUUGCUGGCAAUAGACCCGAAGGGGAGGUGAUCUAACCAUGAGCAGGAUGAAGCUUUGGUAAAACAAAGUGGAGGUCCGAACCCGUCAAUCUUGAGAAAUUGUGGGAUGACUUGUGGUUAGGAGCGAAAGACUAAUCAAACCCCCUGAUAGCUGGUUCUUUCCGAAAUAUAUUUGGGUAUAGCGUCGAGCGCUGACUCACGGAGGUAGAGCACUAAAUAGGCUAGGGCCCCUACCGGGGUACUGAACCUAAUUAAACUCCGAAUACCGUGGGGUGAAGCUCGGCAGUCAGACAGUGCGGGCUAACCUGCAUUGUCGAGAGGAGAAUAAUCCAGACCACCAAUUAAGGUCCCUAAACAUAGCUCAGUGUAAAAGGAUGUGAGUUUGCUUAGACAAUGGGGAUGUUGGCUUAGAGGCAGCCAUCAUUUAAACAGUGCGUAACAGCUGACCCAUCGAGCGAAUUUGCGCCGAAAAUGAUCGGGACUCAAGCUAUGUACCGAAGUUGUGGACUGUAGCAAUACAGUAGUAGGAAAGCGUUCCAAGUGGCAGUGAAGCAGGAGGGGCAACCGACUGUGGAGCUCUUGGAAGUGAGAAUGCAGACAUAAGUAACGAUAAAGGUGGUUGAAUUCCACCUCGCCGUAAGGAUAAGGUUUCCUGAGGAAGGUUCGUCCUCUCAGGGUUAGUCGGGAGCUAAGACGAGGCCGUAAGGAGUAGUCGAUGCACAGCAGGUUAAUAUUCCUGCACCCGCCUGUAACUAUCCAGUCGAAGACGGAUUGACGGAACCAACGGACCCUUUUGACAGGGCACUGCAAAGCCACGGCUGAGCGGAUGUUGGCGAAGGAGAUUCCAAGAAAAUUUGACUGGCCACUAUGCAGGCCGCCCGUACCGCAAACCGACACAGGUAUCCGGGAUGAGUAUUCCAAGGCGCGCGAGUUAAAUCUCUCUAAGGAACUCGGCAAAUUAACCCCGUAUCUUCGGUAUAAGGGGUGCCCCGCAAGGGGCCGCAGUAAAUAGCAACAACCGACUGUUUAGCAAAAACACAGCUCUCUGCCAAGUCGCAAGACGAUGUAUAGGGAGUGACACGUGACCAAUGCGAAAAGGUGAAAGCGUGAGGUGCAAGCUUCGCGUCUAAGCCCUCGUGAAUGUCGGCCGUAACUAUAACGGUCCUAAGGUAGCGAAAUUCCUUGUCGGGUAAGUUCCGACCCGCACGAAUCGUGUAACGAGUUGUUGACUGUCUCGGAGAGAGGCUCGGUGAAAUUGUAGUGGCGGUGAAGAUGCCGCCUACCCGCAGCAGGACGGAAAGACCCUAUGCACCUUUACUGUAAGCUGUUAUUGUCGCUUGAUUUUCAUUGCGUAGAAUAGGUGGGAGACUUUGAGGACUGGCUCCAGGGCCAGUCGGAGUCACAAUGUGAAAUACCACUCUAUGUUAAUUAGGCGUCUAACCACACUACCAUGAUCUGGUUGUGGGACAGUGAUAGCAGGUCAGUUUUUCUGGGGCGGAAUCCUCCCAAAAAGUAACGGAGGAUUACGAAGGUUCCCUCGGCCCGGUCGG
rnacentral:rRNA from 1 species